ACCCGCUGAACUUAAGCAUAUCAAUAAGCGGAGGAAAAGAAACCAACAGGGAUUGCCUUAGUAACGGCGAGUGAAGCGGCAACAGCUCAAAUUUGAAAUCUGGCCUCUUUGGGGUCCGAGUUGUAAUUUGCAGAAACUACUUCGGGGGCAGCACCGGUCCAAGUUCCCUUGAACGGGACGUCGCAGAGGGUGAGAACCCCGUACCUGGCCGCUUGCAGCCCCUAUGUGAAGUUCUUUCGACGAGUCGAGUUGUUUGGGAAUGCAGCUCUAAACGGGUGGUAAAUUUCAUCCAAAGCUAAAUACCGGCUAGAGACCGAUAGCGCACAAGUAGAGUGAUCGAAAGGUGAAAAGCACUUUGAAAAGAGAGUUAAACAGCAUGUGAAAUCGUUGAAAGGGAAGCAUUUGCGACCAGACGCAGGCCGGCCGAUCAGUUAGGGACCUCCCUGGCGUACUCGGUCGUGCCUGGGCCCGCAUCAGCUCUGGCGGCCAGAGAAAGGCCUUGGGAAUGUAACUCCCCCGGGAGUGUUAUAGCCCAGGGUGCCAUCUGGCCCGCUUCGGCUGAGGACCGCGACUUGUCGAGGAUGCGGGCGUAAUGGUCGCAAGUGACCCGUCUUGAAACACGG
rnacentral:rRNA from 1 species